CUUAAGAGGUCGCACACAGGGCUGACAUCAGAGAGAGAGACAGUGGAGGCCCCGUGGAUCAGUGGUGUCUGACCCUAUGAAUACCGAGGCCUGAGUUAUCAAAGCCCUUCUUUUUCCUGUCACACUUGAACCCUUUUCUUUGGCCUUCGAAGUUGAGUCCCUUUUCCCCUCACCCUUCUCCCUGUUCCUGCUGCCAUCCCGUGAUCUUCAAUAAACACAGCUACUCAUUACCUACUCUAAGGUGCACCCUUGGCCAGUCUUUCCUUGUCGUACACAAGAACCUGGACUAUUUUUAGCCUGCUCAACUGUAACAUCUGGCGAGCGAGCCAGGAGGACUCUACAAAUCUUGGGAGACCUCACCAGACACCAGAGGUGUCAGCAACCCAGAGACCUUCGGAGGCCUCGGCAGAAGCAGGCAACCAGACAAUGCAGCCAGCAAGGAAGGUCAUCUAAAAGAAAAAUAUUCUGUUAAGAUAACUAAAUGCGGACCUUUUGGGCUUGAGAAAACUGCUGGACAAGACUUCCCUUGGUGAAUAAAGGAGCACCUGCCUGGAGACAUUUAUGCCUUGUCAUACUCAAGAACCUAGACUAUUUUUGGCUCACUCAACUGUAACAGUCUGAAUAUAGUUUCCAAAUGUAACUAGCAAAUCAAUUUGGAGAGAAGACAAAAAUGUUUGGUCACUGGAGCAGUGCUAAUGGUACUGAGGAUCGAACUCGGGACCUUGCGCUUGUGAGGCAGGUGCCAGAACCACUGAGCUAAAUCCCCGGCCCCAAAACUAGUAUAUCAUUUCCAUGAUGUCAAAAAAAAGACUCAAUUUAUUAACUCACAGAAGACAAUGAAAAUGCCUUUCAUCGCAAAGUUGAUCUGCAAGUGGACCUUUGUACUUCUAACUGGCAGAAGCGCCUGACACGAGUGCCACAGCAGAUGUGCAGAGGUUGCUACCAUUUGACAUCAGGUCCUAACGAGCUGGGUAGAGGAAGGUGUAGGAGGCUGCGCAGUAUAGCGCUCUUCUGUCACGUGUGGACCAUCACCCAUGUGGUUCUACAUUCGGGAACCUAAGUGUUACCUUGACUCUAAUCCAUCAACAAGUUUUGAUUUUACUCUUCAAUUUCUCUUAAGUCCAUCUACUUCUUUUCCACCACUGUCCUAGUCUAUGCCUCCAUCGUCUCUUUCUUGAAAGACAAUAGUUACUCCUAGCUGAACUCUUCUCUCCCUUACUAGCCAUUUCUCCUUUCUUCUCCAGUCUGCCAAGCCUCGGUACAGUUUUCAAAAUGUAAGUUUCACUGCCCAGUCCUUUCCCUAGUCCCCUUUUUUUUUUUUGUACCAGGGAUCAAACUCAGGACCUUGUGCCUACAAGGCAGGUGAUGGAACCACUGAGCUAAAUCCCCAGCCCUCUCUAGUCACCUUUUAAGUGGCUGCUUUUGCUUUUACUUCAACAGGGCUGUCAUGGGGUCUACAGUGUCUUGGGAAACGCCCCCUCCUCCUACCACCACCUGGCCUCUCCUCUGCCCACCUGCACUCUUCACUUUGCUAACUCCUACUAUCCUUCAGAUGGAGCACAUUCCUUUCUUUUCUAUAACCAUCAUUAUCACUUAAAUUUAAUUAAUGUUUAUUUGGGACUCUCAGUUCCAUAAGGGCAGGAAAUGUCUGUUUUGGCUGCAUUGAAUCUCCAUCAAAGAUUAAAUGAAUGAGUAUCUUUAGUACAUUACUGUAUUUUAAAAUACAUACAAGUUUGUACUGCAACACAGAUUCUCUAGCUCUUUGCCUGGAGGUGGGGACUACACAUUACCACCCCCACCCCCAACACUGCACAACACAGACACAUUUCAAGAAGGUCCUAUUUUGUUAUCAUGUAUUAUUUGCUGAAUCUCAUUUCCCCACAGAUUUGUAAGGUUUUCUUGGUUACAGAUCAAAUUUACAUAUAUGCACGAGUCUAUUUCCAUGUCUAUCGAUGGAGAUUACUGUGUCUGCUACUUCAGCUUUAUGAUGUUACUGUCUUCACACUAGCUAACUAGCUUGUCUGAAGAUAGACAAGUCACUUUUGCCCUCUUUUUUAAUCUCUCAAAUGCAUAAUCAUAAUAUCCACAUACAAGGUUGUUUAAAGGAAACAAGCCUGGUAUGUAAAGCCCCAGACAGAAGCCGGUCAGGGUGGCGCACGUGCGCCUGACUAUCUCAACACUCCGGGAGCUGAGGCAGGAAGAUCACCCUGAGUUUCAGGCCACCCUGGG
ensembl:lncRNA